GGUGGCUCAGUGGUAGAGCACUUGCCUUGCAUGCAUGAGGCCCUGGGUUCGUUUUCUCAGCACCA
rfam:Dipodomys ordii contig_125, whole genome shotgun sequence.